rnacentral:lncRNA from 10 species
UGACACUUACACAUGUGUCCACGCUGUUGUGAGUCAUGGGGAAAAAUGGAGGAGCAAAAUGACCAAGUGGCAGGGUCUGUAAGAGUCUCUCACUGUAGGGAUGGGCUGCCCUGAGGAGACACUGCCCAGGCCUGGGUGCCCCGGGCCAAAGUCCUGACCCUUGCAGGGCUGUGUCCUGUGGAUGACAUGUGGCACUGGACUGCUCACUGACAGGACUGUUCACAAUAGCAAACACGGCG